rnacentral:rRNA from 1 species
UACGAAGGGGGCUAGCGUUGUCCGGAAUCAUUGGGCGUAAAGGGCUCGUAGGCGGUUUGUCGCGUCGGGAGUGAAAACUCAGGGCUUAACCCUGAGCCUGCUUCCGAUACGGGCAGACUAGAGGUAUGCAGGGGAGAACGGAAUUCCUGGUGUAGCGGUGAAAUGCGCAGAUAUCAGGAGGAACACCGGUGGCGAAGGCGGUUCUCUGGGCAUUACCUGACGCUGAGGAGCGAAAGUGUGGGGAGCGAACAGG